rnacentral:rRNA from 1 species
UACGGAGGGUGCGAGCGUUAAUCGGAAUAACUGGGCGUAAAGCGCGCGUAGGCGGUUUGCUAAGUCAGAUGUGAAAUCCCCGGGCUUAACCUGGGAACUGCAUUUGAAACUGGCAGACUAGAGUGUAGUAGAGGGAAGUGGAAUUCCGAGUGUAGCGGUGAAAUGCAUAGAUAUUCGGAGGAACACCAGUGGCGAAGGCGACUUCCUGGACUAACACUGACGCUGAGGUGCGAAAGCGUGGGGAGCAAACAGG